rnacentral:tRNA from 1 species
GACUCGGUGGCGCAACUUUAGCACGUCUGACUCCAGAUCAGAAGGUUGCGUGUUCGAAUCACGUCCGGGUCA